rnacentral:misc_RNA from 1 species
GAAAUGCGAUAAGUAAUGUGAAUUGCAGAAUUCCGUGAAUCAUUAAAUCUUUGAACGCACAUUGCGCUCUAUGGUACUCCGUAGAGCAUGUCUGUUUGAGAAUCAGUUUAAUUCUCACCCUUUUUGAUGCUGUUAAAGCGGAUAACUGGGUGGAUCUUGGGACGUUUCUGGAAACAGAAUGUACCUUGAAUUCAAACUUUCCGGGUGCUCUGGAAGACUCCCACUAUGGGCUUCUAUCAAAGGCAUGAUUAAUAAAGGACACGUUCCUUUUCUUCAUUGCUGAACGAUGGUAGUCCGAGGGAUUUGGAAAGGCAAGCGGCGAGAAAAUUUGACACGGGGCGGCAUUGUCGCUCUAAGACAUUUGAUCUCAAAUCAGACAAGACUACCCGCUGAACUUAA